GACGAACGCUGGCGGCGUGCUUAACACAUGCAAGUCGAACGGAAAGGCCCUGCUUUUGUGGGGUGCUCGAGUGGCGACCGGGUGAGUAACACGUGAGUAACCUGCCCUUGCCUUUGGGAUAACUUCAGGAAACUGGGGCUAAUACCGGAUAGGAGCUCCUGCUGCAUGGUGGGGGUUGGAAAGUUUCGGCGGUUGGGGAUGGACUCGCGGCUUAUCAGCUUGUUGGUGGGGUAGUGGCUUACCAAGGCUUUGACGGGUAGCCGGCCUGAGAGGGUGACCGGCCACAUUGGGACUGAGAUACGGCCCAGACUCCUACGGGAGGCAGCAGUGGGGAAUAUUGCACGAUGGGCGGAAGCCGGAUGCAGCAACGCCGCGUGCGGGAUGACGGCCUUCGGGUUGUAAACCGCUUUCGCCUGUGACGAAGCGUGAGUGACGGUAAUGGGUAAAGAAGCACCGGCUAACUACGUG
rnacentral:rRNA from 1 species